rnacentral:rRNA from 1 species
UAGGGAAUCUUCGGCAAUGGACGAAAGUCUGACCGAGCAACGCCGCGUGAGUGAAGAAGGUUUUCGGAUCGUAAAACUCUGUUGUUAGAGAAGAACAAGGACGUUAGUAACUGAACGUCCCCUGACGGUAUCUAACCAGAAAGCCACGGCUAACUACGUGCCAGCAGCCGCGGUAAUACGUAGGUGGCAAGCGUUGUCCGGAUUUAUUGGGCGUAAAGCGAGCGCAGGCGGUUUCGUAAGUCUGAUGUGAAAGCCCCCGGCUCAACCGGGGAGGGUCAUUGGAAACUGGAAGACUUGAGUGCAGAAGAGGAGAGUGGAAUUCCAUGUGUAGCGGUGAAAUGCGUAGAUAUAUGGAGGAACACCAGUGGCGAAGGCGGCUCUCUGGUCUGUAACUGACGCUGAGGAUCGAAAGCGUGGGGAGCAAACAGG